ACGAACGCUGGCGGCGUGCUUAACACAUGCAAGUCGAACGGAAAGGCCCCUUUGGGGGUCCUCGCGUGGCGAACGGGUGAGUAACACGUGAGUAACCUGCCCUUGACUUCGGGAUAACUUCAGGAAACUGGGGCUAAUACCGGAUAGGAAUCCUUGCUGCAUGGUGGGGGUUGGAAAGCUUCGGCGGUUUUGGAUGGACUCGCGGCUUAUCAGCUUGUUGGUGGGGUAGUGGCUUACCAAGGCUUUGACGGGUAGCCGGCCUGAGAGGGCGACCGGCCACAUUGGGACUGAGAUACGGCCCAGACUCCUACGGGAGGCAGCAGUGGGGAAUAUUGCACAAUGGGCGGAAGCCUGAUGCAGCAACGCCGCGUGCGGGAUGACGGCCUUCGGGUUGUAAACCGCUUUCAGCAGGGGCGAAGCUUGUGGUGACGGUACCUGCAGAAGAAGCACCGGCUAACUACGUG
rnacentral:rRNA from 1 species